AGUGAACGCUGGCGGUAGGCCUAACACAUGCAAGUCGAACGGCAGCACAGUAAGAGCUUGCUCUUACGGGUGGCGAGUGGCGGACGGGUGAGGAAUACAUCGGAAUCUACUUUUUCGUGGGGGAUAACGUAGGGAAACUUACGCUAAUACCGCAUACGACCUACGGGUGAAAGCAGGGGAUCUUCGGACCUUGCGCGAUUGAAUGAGCCGAUGUCGGAUUAGCUAGUUGGCGGGGUAAAGGCCCACCAAGGCGACGAUCCGUAGCUGGUCUGAGAGGAUGAUCAGCCACACUGGAACUGAGACACGGUCCAGACUCCUACGGGAGGCAGCAGUGGGGAAUAUUGGACAAUGGGCGCAAGCCUGAUCCAGCCAUACCGCGUGGGUGAAGAAGGCCUCCGGGUUGUAAAGCCCUUUUGUUGGGAAAGAAAAGCAGCAGGUUAAUACCCCGCUGUUCUGACGGUACCCAAAGAAUAAGCACCGGCUAACUUCGUGC
rnacentral:rRNA from 1 species